UACGAAGGGGGCUAGCGUUGUUCGGAUUUACUGGGCGUAAAGCGCACGUAGGCGGCUUUCUAAGUCAGGGGUGAAAUCCUGGAGCUCAACUCCAGAACUGCCUUUGAUACUGGAGAGCUCGAGUCCGGAAGAGGUGAGUGGAACUCCGAGUGUAGAGGUGAAAUUCGUAGAUAUUCGGAAAGAACACCAGUGGCGAAGGGCGGCUCACUGGUCCGGUACUGACGCUGAGGUGCGAAAGCGUGGGGAGCAACAGG
rnacentral:rRNA from 1 species